AUUGAAAGCUGGCGUCUUCGGCGUCCGCAUUGUAAUCUCAAGAAGUGUUUUCCGCUUCGGACCAAGCCUAAGUCCCUUGGAAAAGGGCAUCAUAGAGGGUGAUAAUCCCGUACAUGGCUUGGAGCGCCCGAAGCUUUGUGAUACGCUUUCUAAGAGUCGAGUUGUUUGGGAAUGCAGCUCAAAAUGGGUGGUAAAUGCCAUCUAAGGCUAAAUAUUGGGGAGAGACCGAUAGCGAACAAGUACAGUGAUGGAAAGAUGAAAAGAACUUUGAAAAGAGAGUUAAACAGUACGUGAAAUUGCCAAAAGGGAAGGGUAGGAGGUCAGAGAUGCGGCCUGGGAUUCAGCCUUGCUUUUGCUUGGUGUUUUUCCCAGAUUGCAGGCCAACGUCGGUUUUGGGCACUGGAGAAGGGUAGGAGGAACGUGGCACCUCUCGGGGUGUGUUAUAGCCUCCUACUGGAUACAGCGACCGAGACCGAGGACAGCAGCGUACUCGCAAGAGCGGGCCUUCGGGCACCUUUACGCUUAGGGCGUUGGCAUAAUGGCCCUCU
rnacentral:rRNA from 1 species